rnacentral:rRNA from 1 species
UACGAAGGGUGCAAGCGUUACUCGGAAUUACUGGGCGUAAAGGGCGCGUAGGCGGCCUUCUAAGUCGAACGUGAAAUCCCCGGGCUCAACCCGGGAACUGCGUCCGAUACUGGAAGGCUUGAAUCCGGGAGAGGGAUGUGGAAUUCCAGGUGUAGCGGUGAAAUGCGUAGAUAUCUGGAGGAACACCGGUGGCGAAGGCGGGAUCCUGGGCCAGUACUGACGCUGAGGAGCGAAAGCGUGGGGAGCAAACAGG